rnacentral:rRNA from 1 species
UACGUAGGGGGCAAGCGUUGUCCGGAUUUAUUGGGCGUAAAGAGCGUGUAGGCGGUUUGGUAGGUCCGCUGUGAAAACUCGAGGCUCAACCUCGAGACGCCGGUGGAAACCAUCAGGCUAGAGUCCGGAAGAGGAGAGUGGAAUUCCUGGUGUAGCGGUGAAAUGCGCAGAUAUCAGGAGGAACACCGGUGGCGAAGGCGGGUCUCUGGGCAACUACUGACGCUGAGGAGCGAAAGCGUGGGGAGCGAACAGG